UACGUAGGGGGCGAGCGUUGUCCGGAAUUACUGGGCGUAAAGGGUGCGUAGGCGGUACUUUAAGUUGGAUGUGAAAUCCCCGGGCUUAACCUGGGGCCUGCAUCCAAUACUGGAGAACUAGAGUGCAGGAGAGGGAAGCGGAAUUCCUAGUGUAGCGGUGAAAUGCGUAGAUAUUAGGAAGAACACCAGUGGCGAAGGCGGCUUUCUGGACUGUAACUGACGCUGAGGCACGAAAGCGUGGGGAGCAAACAGGAUUAGAUACCCUGGUAGUCCACGCUGUAAACGAUGAAUACUAGGUGUAGGGGGUAUCAACUCCCUCUGUGCCGCAGCAAACGCAAUAAGUAUUCCGCCUGGGGAGUACGGCCGCAAGGUUGAA
rnacentral:rRNA from 1 species